rnacentral:tRNA from 1 species
GCUUGAAUAGUUUAUUUAAAACAUUAAUUUGUGGAAUUAAAGAUAUAUUAUUUUUAUUUCAGGCA